UAUGAUGGCGAAUAGGAGGACUGUAGCUAAUGGCUCAUCUGCACCGUGGAGAGGAGACCGUCGGCUACGCCUGCCUGACGGCAGGAGACUGCCUCUGCUGACACUUUGGCGUCUCCUCUGAUCCAUACAGCAGUGGAGGGAUGGAGAAACUGAGGCUUUGAGUGACUCAAAGAGCAAUGGAGUGACAGUGGUGGGUGUGACUCCAGGAUGUGCACACCGGCCCGCACCCCAAGCACACAGCCACCCCUAACGGACUGAUGGAGCAGAAGAACUAGAGAGGAGUUAGGGAGAACAGAAUUCAGCCCGGGGUUCUAGGAAGACACUGCCUCCCAGCACUCUCAGCCUCAGUGUCACCGUCUGUAAGCUGGGUAUGAUCUCCACCUAGUGGCGUAUGAUGAAGAGUAUGCAGAAUGCGGCAGACACCAGGCAGCGCCCAACAGGGUCAACCCCCUUCCCCACCACCUCCGCCAACAACUCUUCGAACACCUACCAGGUACCACACUCUGCGAGAAACCAAAGGCAAGAGAAAGAGAGUCAUCACCUGAUCCAACUAACAAAAAAGAUGAAAGCACAUAAAACAGCACAGUAGCAGCCCGGCAAGCACUUUCUAUGUCUGCCUUGUCUUUGAGACAAGUCUUAUUGUCAUCAUCAUUUUACAGAUGAGGAAACUGAGUCUCGGGGAUGGGAAGGAACUUGCCCACAGUCACCCAGUAAGUGGCAGAGGGGCGAUUUGAACCCGGGUCUGACUGAUAGCAGCAGAGAGAAGGGAGGGGUGGUGAGGGCUGCCAGGGGGCUGGGUCCCUCUGGAGUUGGGAAGGGGCCUGGGUGGAGAGGGGGAAGGGGUCUGGACAGUGGUGGAGCCAGACACCUCCCGUCUCCCGGCAAGGGCACCUCUGCUGAACCCCAAGGGCCUCCCUGUCUGCCAGAACCCCCAACCCCACUGGAGACCACUCCAGUCCAAGGCUACAGCCGAUGGCUGUGGGGGGAUUACCCUCAUCUCUCCAAGUCGGGGGGGGGGGGUCAAGGAAGCCCAGUGGUCGCAUGUGCAUCCCUGAGUCCCAGGCUGUUUCCUCCCUUCUGGAAAUCAGGAUGAGAUGGGGAAGAAAUGGGAGAGGGAGAACGAAGCUCAGCAAAGACAGGAACCCGUUUUACCCCAAAGGACCAUGACAAGAAGGGAUAUGACACAGCCUCGGCUCCUUAGUGCGUGGACAAAGCCGUGGGCCUCCCGGGGAUGUUGGCCAGCCCGUCAGAAGGCCGCCCUUGGCCCUGCACUCCCAUCUCUUCACAGCUGCGAUAUGCAGAGGGUUCUCAAGGGCAGGGCUGCAGUUUUGCAAACGGAUCUUCAGAAAAUUGUGCCUCCCGUCCGCCCGCAGCAGCCACGUCAGCAAACCACUGCGGAAGAGAAGUCUGCUGCCAACAGAGCUGGGAAGCGGCCCAGGAACCACACGCGACUCGGGGUGCUCUGUUUUAAAUUAGCCGGCCGCUGCUCCCUCCCACUGGUGACAAUAACCAGAUUUGGGGGUGAGCGGGCAUGCCCCAGUUCAUGAACAUUUGAUGGACAAUCCCCAAAGCGCGAGGCUGGGACUAUCCACGUCCACACAGAGCCUCCAGCUCAGACAGCUCAGUGACCCUGAGAGAGGACCGGGCGAGGUGACGUCUGUGACCUGCCCAGCUGGGACAUGCUCUAAUUCCAUAUUCUCCUGGCCUCCUCAAAAAGUCUCCACCAGGUCUGGGAGACCUGGCCCCUGAGUGGUCCCCGCACCGUCUGAAAAAGGAAUGUGAGGACUUUGUGAUGAUACUUCCAGACCUCACAAUUUAGUUUCAAGAAAAGACUGGUAGACAGUUGUCAUUUGGGGGCAGCCCUUUUCUUACCGGGGGAGGUGCUCCCACUGUUUGAAUCUUGGAGGAUGGUAGGUCCCUGCCUCCCAGACCAGAGGCCGGGGGGAGGGCAUGGGCCUUGGCUCAGACAACAGGAUAACCCUGCCCAGGACUCCCAGUGCUGAGCAAGAGAUGAGAACACGCAGGAACCAGUCAGUGUUCACACUGUGGCAGCAGCCGCUGGGGGUCGAGGCAGAAGCUGAAGGCCAUUAGCAGCGACGUCCAGCAGUGGCCAUGUCCAUGGUGGUUUCCAAGCCAGCCCAUCCCGUGCCUUUGCCCGUAGUCCUGCCACCAAGCCACCCACGGCCCCAGUCCACUUUCCAAGCCCACAACUUCAGGUUCUCUGUAGAUUCUCAAGCCAGGCAAUAAUCUCUCAAUAGAUUCUUUUCUUGCUUAAAGCUAGCUACAGUUGACUUCUGUGGCUCGCUCCCCCAAAACACUGACAGAAAGUAAGCCAAACUAUUCUUUUUUCAUUCAAGAGUUAAAUAAUAUCAAAGAAUAAUUUGGGGGAUGGAGGUAAAAGUAUGACUCUCAUCAAAUUAUAAAGGUUCUAUUAACUCAUUCAUUAAUGAGGAAAACAACUGAGCUGUUCCAAGUGGUUCAAAGGGGAAUUCCAAGAAUCACACAGGUAGAGGUAAUCAGAAUGUUGGAAUCACCUUACAUAUAGGUGCAGAAGAAGUCUAUCCACAGGGCAAUAAUCAGUUGGAUUCCACAGGACCAGAUUAAUGUACAUUUCUCUAAACACCGGUCAUGGGCAUUAUUGCUGGUUUUCAGCGACUUACAAAGUUGUAAAAUAGCUCAAAGGCAGUGACAGGCAGAGAGAGCCUGGAAGGGGGCCCAGACAGGACACCAGUAAUCUUUUUAUUUCUCUCAUCCAUUUGAGAGUCUUUCACUAACUUGUCCUUACAACAAUACAGGAGAUGACCAAAUGAGUGGGAGACACACUCAGAAGAUCCUAACCACUGCAGGCUGGAAUCGUGUGGGAAGUUCUUAGAGGAACUUGAGCUGGGUUUUAAGGGCUAAGAGUUGGAAAGGAGGGUUUUCUGGAAAGUGUGAGCAGAAGUUUGGGGGCAGUAAGGAAGCUGGCAUGACCCAUUGGCAGAUUAGACCGGUCUGCCCAGAAAAGCUGGCUUGUGAAGGAAACCGGCAAUAACAAGGUUGGAAAUAUACUUUGGGACAUCCUCGUGGCUUAUUAUUAACAGUCUUGGGGAAAGGGAUAUAAAUUGACAAAAUAAAAAUAGUGUAGAAUAGUCAUCUGAAAGGGACGCUUGGCAGUGCCCCGUCCCUUAGUCUGCUCAUAGUAGACACUAUGAGGACACUUUCCUACUCUUUUUCAGCAGUGUCCCCCUCCUUGCUGAGGAUGGAGCAGCAGGCAGUCAGCUCUCACACAGAUGAGCCCACCCCUUGGUGGGAGGAGGAAGGGAUAGGAUUUAAACUCAGAAAGACCCAACUACAAUCAGGGGAUGCAGACUCCGGAGUGGUAAGAACCGAUAAACAUGUAGAAUUAGUGUCUGGGUUGUUACCAUGGCAACCCAGAAUCCGCUGCACACUACUUUUGGGGGACCCGAGGGGCAGAGCCUCUAAGACACAGUCAGUCUGCGGGGAAGUGGGGAACAGGCUGGCAGAGGAGUGACCACAGGCCCAGGUGCCUGGCAACCUCUGGUCACCGAGGCUGCACAGCUCCUCCCACUGCCCAGGUCUCUACAGGGAAACUUUCUCCCUUAAAUUCACUUGAAUGGCUCUCUGCUCCUUGCCCCCAAACAGGAUCCAAGGAGCAUGAAGAACCCUGAGUCAUUUGGUCCCCAACACCCACCCUCCCUGCAUCUGGGCAAUGUUUGCAGAACUGUUGAAUAAAGAUUG